rnacentral:rRNA from 1 species
GACGAACGCUGGCGGCGUGCUUAAUACAUGCAAGUCGAACGGAAAGACGCUGCUUUUGCUGGGUUCUCGAGUGGCGAACGGGUGAGUAACACGCGUGUAUCCUGCCCCUGUCUUUGUGAUAACUUCAGGAAACUGGGGCGAUUAUCGGGGAUGAGCUCUUGCUGCGUAGGGGGGGUUGGAGAAUGUCGGCGUUUGUGGCUGUACUCGCGGCUUAUGAGCUUGUUGGGGGGGUAGUUGCGUACCAAGGUUUCGACGGGUAGGCGGCCUGAGAGGGUGACCGGCCACAUUGGGACUGAGAGAGGGCCCAGACUGCUACGGGAGGCAGCAGUGGGGAAUCUUGCACAAUGGGCGGAAGCCUGAUGCAGAAACGCCGCGUGCGGGAUGACGGCCUUCGGGUUGUAAACCGAUUUCGCCUGUGACGAAGCGUGAGUGACGGUAAUGGGUAAAGAAGCACCGGCUAACUACGUG